GCCAGCUCUUCCUUCCCGGCUGUGAAGACAUUCUGUAAAAAGGGGUGGGGAUUGCCUGUGGGUGCUGGGGAGCGUUUGGCGGGGAACCCAGCAGGUAGAAGAGUAGCAAGCAGCCUGGAAAAUGGGGAGCAGCAGGUAAAAGUGGGUCCGAUCACUUUCGGCCGGACCUUUCCUGUGGCACCUGUCCCUCACCUCCCCGGAGACUGCUUUGGAUAGAAGGAGGGCUUCCGGGGAGAGAGACCCUGGAACUGGGGCUUGAGGUUCACGGGGACAUUCAUCUCCCAACAACCGAGCGUCAUUUUCAUGUUCCGGUGGACCUGGAUGUGCCAUCAGCACCAAUCCAUCAUGGAGGAAGGCCACCCGUAUUUAUCUGGCCUGCAGGCAGGAGACCGUUUCCAGCUGCUCGGCACUGAACUCCAGGGGAUUGUUUUGGGGAAUCAGUAACUGGAUGAGGGAAGAUCAAC
rnacentral:lncRNA from 1 species